GACGAACGCUGGCGGCGUGCUUAACACAUGCAAGUCGAACGGAAAGGCCCUGCUUUUGUGGGGUGCGCGAGUGGCGAACGGGUGAGUAACACGUGAGUAACCUGCCCUUGACUUUGGGAUAACUUCAGGAAACUGGGGCUAAUACCGGAUAGGAGCUCCUGCUGCAUGGUGGGGGUUGGAAAGUUUCGGCGGUUGGGGAUGGACUCGCGGCUUAUCAGCUUGUUGGUGGGGUAGUGGCUUACCAAGGCUUUGACGGGUAGCCGGCCUGAGAGGGUGACCGGCCACAUUGGGACUGAGAUACGGCCCAGACUCCUACGGGAGGCAGCAGUGGGGAGUAUUGCACAAUGGGCGGAAGCCUGAUGCAGCAACGCCGCGUGCGGGAUGACGGCCUUCGGGUUGUAAACCGCUUUCGCCUGUGACGAAGCGUGAGUGACGGUAAUGGGUAAAGAAGCACCGGCUAACUACGUG
rnacentral:rRNA from 1 species